rnacentral:rRNA from 1 species
CCUACGGGAGGCUGCAGUGAGGAAUAUUGGUCAAUGGGAGAGAUCCUGAACCAGCCAAGCCGCGUGAGGGAAGAAGGCUCUAUGGGUUGUAAACCUCUUUUGUCGGAGAACAAAACCCGGGACGCGUCCCGGACUGCGUGUAUCCGAAGAAAAAGCAUCGGCUAACUCCGUGCCAGCAGCCGCGGUAAUACGGAGGAUGCGAGCGUUAUCCGGCUUUAUUGGGUUUAAAGGGUGCGUGGGCGGUCCGUUAAGUCAGCGGUAAAAGUGCGGGGCUAAACCCCGUCGGGCCGUUGAAAGUGGCAGACUUGAGUAGGCGAGAGGGAGGCGGAAUGCGCGGUGUAGCGGUGAAAUGCAUAGAUAUCGCGCAGAACUCCGAUGGCGAAGGCAGCGUACCGGCGCCAGACUGACGCUGAGGCACGAAAGCGUGGGGAUCGAACAGGAUUAGAUACCCCUGUAGUC